rnacentral:lncRNA from 1 species
CGCUACCUCUAACAGCCCUCACUAGGCCGCUACUUAGCCUCUCUGGGGGCCCGUGAUUGAUUUUUGGCCGAAAAUACGCUCAGCCCCAGGCCCUCCCCCGGAACCGUGGGCUAUAGCACACCAAUUUGGCCCGAAAAUGCCCCAUUAACAUCAUUUUGCAUAUUUGACCAUGAAAAUGGCCCCGCCAACCACAACAACAAAUACUAAGCCGCUUCUUAGACUAUCUUGGGGUUCCCGAUCAAUUUUUGGCCUAAAACAUGCCUGGGUCCUGAACCUACCCUCGC